GCGCUGGUAGUGUAGUAGGCUGCACCCUGCACGAAGGCAAGGAGUGCGGGUUCGAGUCCCGCCUGGCGCG
rnacentral:tRNA from 1 species